rnacentral:rRNA from 1 species
GGAAAAGAAACCAACCGGGAUUGCCUUAGUAACGGCGAGUGAAGCGGCAAAAGCUCAAAUUUGAAAUCUGGUACCUUCGGUGCCCGAGUUGUAAUUUGGAGAGGGCAACUUUGGGGCCGUUCCUUGUCUAUGUUCCUUGGAACAGGACGUCAUAGAGGGUGAGAAUCCCGUGUGGCGAGGAGUGCGGUUCUUUGUAAAGUGCCUUCGAAGAGUCGAGUUGUUUGGGAAUGCAGCUCUAAGUGGGUGGUAAAUUCCAUCUAAAGCUAAAUAUUGGCGAGAGACCGAUAGCGAACAAGUACAGUGAUGGAAAGAUGAAAAGAACUUUGAAAAGAGAGUGAAAAAGUACGUGAAAUUGUUGAAAGGGAAGGGCAUUUGAUCAGACAUGGUGUUUUGUGCCCUCUGCUCCUUGUGGGUAGGGGAAUCUCGCAUUUCACUGGGCCAGCAUCAGUUUUGGUGGCAGGAUAAAUCCAUAGGAAUGUAGCUUGCCUCGGUAAGUAUUAUAGCCUGUGGGUAAUACUGCCAGCUGUGGACUGAGCGAUCUGCGACGUAAGUCAAGGAUGCUGGCAUAAUGGUUAUAUGCCGCCCGUC